rnacentral:rRNA from 1 species
CCGAACCAGGUGAAGGACACCAGCGGAAACGUGCUCCCAUCUGGUGUGCUUACCACAUUCACAGUGAAUGUGGAUUCGAGUGCUCCGACAGCGAGCUUGAGCGCGGCGAAUAUCACCGCCGUCGCGACAUCUGGGCAGAGCUUCACAGUCACCUAUACCGACGAUGCUCAGAUCGAUGCUGCGACCAUCGAUCUUCCGAUGUGGUUGUCACGGGGCCUAACGACUUUUCGCGGGCGGCAACGCUUGCGAAUCCCGUGAGCGGAAGCGGCGCUGUUCGCACGGCGACCUAUCAGAUCGCCGGGCCCGC